GGCUUAAUGAUUUUAAUUUUAGGUCGAUCUGCCCAAUGAUUUAAUUAUUUAAUGGCUGCAGUAUAAUUAACUGUACAAAGGUAGCAUAAUCAAUUGUUUUUUAAUUAAAAACUGGAAUGAAAGAAUUAAUGAGAUAUAUACUGUCUCAUAUAUAUUUUAUUAAUUUAAAUUUUUAGUAAAAAUGCUAAAAUAAAUUUAUGGGACGAUAAGACCCUAUAGAAUUUUAUAUUGAUAUUUAAAUUAAUAAUUUAUUUUAGAUAAUAAUAUUUAAUUGGGAGGAUUAAUAAAUUUAUAAAACUUUAUUUAAAAUAUAAACUUUAAUUUAAGAAUAAUUAAUGAUCUUGUAUUAUAAAUUAUAAGAAUAAAUUACCUUAGGGAUAACAGCGUAAUAUCUUUUUAAAGAUCAUAUUAAUAAAGAUGAUUGCGACCUCGAUGUUGAAUUAAGAUAAAUUUUAAAUGGAGAAAUUUAAUAAUUAAGUCUGUUCGACUUUUAAAAUCUUACAUGAUUUGAGUUCAAAUCGACGUGAGU
rnacentral:rRNA from 1 species